GGGUGGGCCUCAAGUGUCCGGCGCUGUAAGUUCGCGGGUGACACCAAGCUGGGCAACAGGAUCUGGACAGGCUGGAUGGACGGGCCCCAUCCAGCUGCGUGGCAUUCAAGGCCAAAUGCGGGGCGCCACACUUAGAAUCAUAGAAUAUCCUGAGUUGGAAAGGGGCAGACCUGAAGGGAUGAAAGACACAGUCUCCUGACGGCUCUUGAGCAGACGGUGUUUAUUGCCAUUUUUCUCCACUACAUAUACUUUCCCCGUAACCACAUGCGCUGUCCACGUGCCCAAAUCAGUCAUUAAAUUGGUUAGAGACCCUCAGCCACGCGCCUCAAGCCAGCCAGCAAUUGGCCACUGCACAAAGCUUAUCUUUAAUGCUGUAGCCAAGUUAAUUUAUCUCCACCGUGCUCACAUUUUUGUUUCUAACGCUUA